GUAGUGACUCAGUGGUAGAGCACUUGCCUGGCAUGUGUGAGGCACUGGGUUCAAUUCUCAGCACCACA
rnacentral:tRNA from 1 species